rnacentral:rRNA from 1 species
UACUGCACAAUGGAGGGAACUCUGAUGCAGCAACCCCGCGUGAGUGAAGAAGGUUUUCGGAUCGUAAAACUCAGUCAGUGGGGAAGAACAAAUGACGGUACCCAAUGAGGAAGCCACGGCUAACUACGUGCCAGCAGCGGCGGUAAUACGUAGGGUGCGAGCGUUGUUCGGAAUGACUGGGCGUAAAGGGUACGUAGGCAGCUAUAUAAGUCAGGUGUGAAAUACCAAUGCUUAACACUGGAAUUGCAUUUGAAACUGUGUAGCUUGAGUGCAGGUGAGCAAAGUGGAAUACCUAAUGUAGCGGUGAGAUGCGUAGAGAUUAGGAGGAACACCAGUGGAGAAGGCGACUUUCUGGACUGUAACUGACGCUGAGGUACGAAAGCGUGGGUAGCGAACA